CCUCGCAGCUGCCCUCAAUGCUAAUUACGCCAUUAGGCCUUGUCUCCAACUUCUGGUUGGGCACUGAAGAGAAUCUCUGUUUAGGACCAUGCCAGCAUCUGGCUCUGAGGAAAUCCUUUGACCUGGAGGAAGGAAUUGUACUAACCGUGUACAAUUUCCUGGCUCACCUAGGAGGUUAAGGCAUGGAGAGACCUGGGGGCGGGGCCACACUGGCGUAAGCUGCUUCCUGGGUCUUGACGCCUCUCCAACGAAUCACUUAGACCUUUAAAGGAUGAGGAUCAGCUCUGCUUCUCCCAUGUGGGACCUAGACAACAAGAGGCAAGAAUAGUUUCAAGCCAGGUUAAGAAGUCAUAGAGAGCCGGGUGUGGUGGCGCACGCGCUUUAAUCCCAGCACUCGGGAGGCAGAGGAUCAACGAGUCAAUUCUUGUUCAAUAUGGUCGCUGUGCCUCAGGGUAUCAAAUCUGUGUUCCAACUGAAACUCGGAACAAGAGAAUGCUACCAGCUGGAUGCAUCUGAGGGUCUGCAUAUUUUCCCUACAGUCACAGGGAUAGGAGAACUGGAGGUGAGAAUCCAGAGAAAGAAUGAAGACAACUAAAAAAUAAAAAAUAAAAAAAAUAAAGAAGAAUGAAGACAACUAUGUCCUGGAGUCUCUAGUAGGCGGGCUUUGUGACCUGGGUGAGGUCACACUGCUGGGACCAUUCUCAUGUGUGUAGGAUAGGGUGGGCUGAGUGGAGAUACUCUGAUACUGGCAUAAAUGCUGGCAGGACAUUUUGAAAUAAUUAUGGUCAACCAGGUAGUGGUGGCACAGCCUUAAUACCAGCA